UAAAGGUUUGGUCCUAGCCCUUCUAUUAGCCGUCAGUAGGAUUACACAUGCAAGUAUCAGCACCCCGGUGAAGAUGCCCUCUUAAUCACCAACGAUAAAGAGGAGCGGGUAUCAAGCACACUAUACAGUAGCUAAAGACGCCUUGCCUAGCCACACCCCCACGGGAUACAGCAGUGACAAAAAUUAAGCCAUGAACGAAAGUUCGACUAAGCCAUACUAGCCUACAGGGUUGGUAAAUUUCGUGCCAGCCACCGCGGUCAUACGAUUAACCCAAGUUAAUAGCCAUACGGCGUAAAACGUGUUAAGGAGAUUACCCACACAAUAAAGUUAAAUCUUGGGCUAUGCUGUAGAAAGCUUUAGCCCAGACAAAAAUAAACCACGAAGGUGACUUUAAAUGAUCCGACUACACGAUAGCUAAGACACAAACUGGGAUUAGAUACCCCACUAUGCUUAGCCCUAAACCUAAGUAGCUAAAUAACGAUGCCACUCGCCAGAGUACUACUAGCAACAGCUUAAAACUCAAAGGACUUGGCGGUGCUUUAUAUCCCUCUAGAGGAGCCUGUUCUGUAAUCGAUAAACCCCGAUAAACCUCACCAACUCUUGCUAAUACAGCCUAUAUACCGCCAUCUUCAGCAAACCCUAAAAAGGAAAUAAAGUAAGCAAAAUCAUAAAACAUAAAAACGUUAGGUCAAGGUGUAGCCUAUGAGUUGGAAAGAAAUGGGCUACAUUUUCUAGUAUAGAACAUCGACGAAAAUUUUCGUGAAACCGGAAAUAGAAGGAGGAUUUAGUAGUAAAUUAAGAACAGAGAGCUUAGUUGAAUUAGGCCAUGAAGCACGCACACACCGCCCGUCACCCUCCUCAAGUAUAAAGAUACAAUGCCCAAUCCUAUUAAUAAAUGUACACACACAUGAGAGGAGAUAAGUCGUAACAAGGUAAGCGUACUGGAA
rnacentral:ncRNA from 1 species